AGUGGCAGACGGGUGAGUAAUGUAUAGGAAUCUACCUAGUAGUACGGAAUAAUUGUUGGAAACGGCAACUAAUACCGUAUACGCCCUACGGGGGAAAAAUUUAUUGCUAUUAGAUGAGCCUAUAUUAGAUUAGUUAGUUGGUGAGGUAAAGGCUUACCAAGACAAUGAUCUAUAGCUGAUCUGAGAGGAUGAUCAGCCACACUGGAACUGAGAUACGGUCCAGACUCCUACGGGAGGCAGCAGUGGGGAAUAUUGGACAAUGGGCGAAAGCCUGAUCCAGCCAUGCCGCAUGAGUGAAGAAGGCCUUCGGGUUGUAAAGCUCUUUUAGUGAGGAAGAUAAUGACGGUACUCACAGAAGAAGUCCUGGCUAACUCUGUGCCAGCAGCCGCGGUAAUACGGAGAGGGCUAGCGUUAUUCGGAAUCAUUGGGCGUAAAGGGCGCGUANGCGGGUUAAUAAGUUAAAAGUGAAAUCCCAAGGCUCAACCUUGGAACUGCUUUUAAAACUGCUAGUCUAGAGAUUGAAAGAGGAUAGAGGAAUUCCUAGUGUAGAGGUGAAAUUCGUAAAUAUUAGGAGGAACACCAGUGGNGAA
rnacentral:rRNA from 1 species